CGGCGGACGGGUGAGCAACGCGUGGGUAACCUACCCUGUACACACGGAUAACAUACCGAAAGGUAUGCUAAUACGGGAUAAUAUAUUUGAGAGGCAUCUCUUAAAUAUCAAAGGUGAGCCAGUACAGGAUGGACCCGCGUCUGAUUAGCUAGUUGGUAAGGUAACGGCUUACCAAGGCGACGAUCAGUAGCCGACCUGAGAGGGUGAUCGGCCACAUUGGAACUGAGACACGGUCCAA
rnacentral:rRNA from 1 species